AGCGAUCAAAAUAUUAUCUCUCCAUCAUUCAAGUCCAGAGAGAACCAAGUUCAAAACUUUUGAAGAUAUACUGAAGAAAAGGGAGAGAGGGAGAGGAGACUUUUACCAAGAUCUCCCUAGUUCCUACACUCUCCACCUAAAUCUACAUUAAAAUCUAAAUUAAAAUCUCUCAAAAAGAAUAUUGAAAAACAAAACUCCCAGCAAUUUGAAAGCAGAGAAGGGGAAGAUGGAGGGAGAGGCUUAGAUUCACCAAUUGAUCUGCAACUAAUAAAUCAAAACAGCUGCAAACGGUUGCUUGCAGAACAACAGCAGCAGACCAUCCAAGAUUGCCUCACCGUCAAGAGAAUAGUUACUUUCCUCUCAAAAUGUAGCAAAACCCUCAUCCAAGAAUCAUCCAGCCUCUUUGUAUAGAACACAAAAGCAAUGCCGCUCUCCCAGUUUGCGAAACAAUGAAGAAGAAGAAAAGCCAAAUAGAAGAAACAUAAGCAAUGCUGCUCUCCCAGUUGUAUAGGGAUUAGUCUAAUAGUUCUGAGAUUAUGCAAAUGCAUUUUCAGAAGAUCAUGUCCUUGUCUCAUGGCAACGGCAAAUGAUACUAUUUGAAAGUUGUGCUAAGAGAACCAAACAAUUU
rnacentral:lncRNA from 1 species